rnacentral:ncRNA from 3 species
CCUUCGAUGUCGGCUCUUC